UGGAAAGUACAAGCCUGUCAAAGUGUGGAGGUAUCAGGAGGUAACUUGAUGUGGGAGUCAGACCAGAGGUGUGCAGAUCUCCAUUAAGUACAAUUGAUUUAUGACGUUGUGACUUGUUUUCUUCUUACUGUGUAAUAAGGCAAGGUGUAAGUGUGUGAGGCGGCUGCUACGGUUGCCAAGACAUUCAGUGCCAACAUCCGGUCCCUGCCUUAGAAUUUGUAGAUUCUAGCCAGUCAAGAACCUCAGUGAACUAGGCCCAGUCACAGCCUUAAAGAGAAGCUGAGCGGGUGGCUCCUCUUCCCUCUCACAGGUAUCCGACAGUGUGCCACACAUGUUCUUUUGAAAGAAUCGGAGCUAUAAUAUAGGUCUCACAAUGACUGGAGCAUUACUUUCCUAUCAUUCAGAAUGUUUCCUGAAUAGCUAGGCAAGACAGAAUUGCAUCAGCUCAGUUUUCUUCAUAAGUGACAGUGACAGCAUCAUCAUCAGUAAGUUGACGAUUGGACGUAAUUUUUGAGAGGAUUGAAGUGAUUGAAAGUAUAGAAGUAAUUUUUAGCUCAUUUUCAUAAGUAAUAUUUUUGACAUAGGAAGGCUGUCUCAGCUGAGUGGGAAGAGGGGCAGCAUACAACAGCCUUCAUCGGAAGCCUUCCUCCUGUUAGCACCAACAUCACAUUCUCUUCCCUUUGUCUAAGAACGUGGCUUAUGCAAAGAGAAGGCUUGGUUCAGUGGCUGGUGCUGCAUUUAUUACCUAAUGGCAUGCUUCCCUACUCUAGAGGACAAGUGACAUACAGGUUUACUCCUUGCUUGGGAUAACUAGAAUACACUGCUUCUGGCGGCUGCUGGCUGGCUGCCUCUGCUGUUCCGAGGCCAUGUGUAUGUCUAUGGCCCACCCCACAGAUAUGAUAAUGUGCUCAGACUUCCCCCAAGGCUAGACAUAUCACAGGGACUAAAUGGUGACUUGAAUCUCAUUAAUGUGAGUGAAAAGAGGAAACAGGAUGCUUGAUAAGAAACUAGGAAAUGGCUAUUAGAAAUCAUAUACAUCUAAACAAUUUGCUUAUGUUAUGGAUAGUAAUGUAGAGGUGAGUUUUCUAUUAUUUAAGGUGUAAAUAACAAAACAUAACAUUGAAUGUAGCUUCCAAAUGUUAUGGCCAAGUUGCUAAAACCUAAGAAAAACUAUCAGAUGCAAAAUGGUAACCAAUGUAUGCAAGCUUCAGUCUUAAUCGUAAUUCUGAGACUGAUAUAGCUGAUGAUAAAAGAGUUACAUAUAUAAUUACAGAAGGUCUCUGUGACUGCUUGCAUGUUUCAGAAACAUCUGUAAAUAGGUCUUUUAUCUAGUUUGUGUUAUGAUUAUAUCUAGAAUGUGAUUUAUUAGUUUUCUAAUAUAUUUUGAGCCCAAUAUUAUGUACUCUGCAUUGUCUUUGAGUAUAUGAGCAUCCAUACACCUUCUUAUAUAAAAUUCCCUUUGGCCAUGUCUUUAAGUAAAAUGUUUCUACUCCAUCUUAAAGAAAUUGUGAGCUGUCUUCAUAGUUAGGGACACACCCAUUCUCGGGUUAAUAAUGGAAAGCUAACGAAUGACUGCCUGGGGGAGCCAUGUUGCUCAUCCUGUAAAGAAGAAAUGUUAUUAUGGUGUUAUUACUCUUGCUUUUAGAUGAAAAAGGAAAGAGCUGUAAAGAGGCUCUGCACAUCGUCCCUAGAACCAUGAAAAUUUGACAUAAAAUUUGAAUUUAUGUUUACCCAGAAAUUUCGCUUAUUUUCACUGUUAAGAAUUAUACUGUGUCCUUGGAAGAUGAAAAUCUACCUUGUCAAUUUUGAAUAAAGUAUAUAAUUUAACGUAUUGGCAAG
rnacentral:lncRNA from 1 species